UGCAUCGCGCACACGCACGCACGCCACACAGUACGUAUCUCCAGUUUGAGCUUUCACUGUAGAAAGUUAACGCGGCUCGAGUUGGCGCACAGCGACGACGAUUCCACGCCGACAACGAGAACGAUCGGGUUUUCGUACCGAUGAAUUAUCCAAUUCAAGGACAACCCCGGAAGCCUUUCUCCGUUUUCGCCACGGCAAAGCAGCGGCGUCUGCUCCCCCCGAUCGCAAUCGCUCGCAGCCGGUUUUUCGUGACGAAAGUAGAGAAAAAUUUGCGAUCCACGAGUGGUAUCGGUAACGAGGAAAGGAAAGGAAGGAGAAGGAAGGAAGUGAGGAAGGACGACCACCUCGUGGCGGACUAUUUCUCUGCUCGCCUGACAUCCACAUCCUGGAUUUACGCUCGAGUUAUCGCGUUUUUCCCCCGCAACGUACAUCGACGCAUCGGACAGUCGCAGGAGCCGUUAAUGCAUCGGCGCAAAACAAUAUAUGUUUAUAUUCAGGAUAGUCAAGUAGUUCCAGCAUCUACUUGACCGAAGCUUAGAUGGACUGGAGCGAUCGUGAGCGCCACUCGGCCUUAUUCAGCAUAUUUGGUGGCGUGGAAACUGCGUACAUGUCCGUGGACACCGUGGAUCAGGUGUGCACGCACUCGCGGCAGGUGUAAGUCGAAGAAGGAGGCCGUAGGCUGCAUUCGCGGUAGGCUAAUCCGGAUGGAAAUCCCGAAUUUGAUGGGAAAGUGCAUGUGCAUGCUGUUCGAGAAAUCCAUGUUUAUGGGAUAUCUUUCAUCGCGUUGUUGCAAAUAACGUGGGCAAGUUGAGCGAGUAGGCCAGCAAAACGAGGACAUCGAGGAAGGAGCAACCGUACGAACACCGGGGUGGACCAAUUAAUGUUUAAUAACUGGGAAAUCCAUGCCACACCAAUUACAUGUCGAUGAUGAGAGAUGGAGCUCGAAUUUAUUCUCUCGCGGUUCUCAAGAGUUCCGUGCACUUUUAUAGCCUUUCUUCGUGUAUAUGCCUACAAGUAUAUACUCGCACAGUUGUUUAAAACUGUGAGAGAAGAGCACGCGCUGGUAGAUGCGAGAAAUGCACGAAAGGUGCACUUACAACGUCUAAUAAAGCAACCCACAAAUACCAUAUAUCGUGCGAUUCAUGAUCACUCGACGGAGAGCCUAUCGAGACUGUUGAUAUUGAGAUGUACGAUUGAAACUCCAACGAGAGAGCUAUUACACAACGUGCCAAGUACGCUUAACGAUAAAUCUACUGUUUUACACUUUCGCAACGUGCCAUUGAAAAGCUACAGAAAAACAUGAUUUUUUCACACUUUAGCGCGUAUUGUUAGUCGAGAAGAUGAACUGAACAUUUAUUCAGAAGCUAACGAAAGUCGCGAAAACGAUACUUUUUUCAAUGACAAUUAUCUCGCAUCCGGAUAUGGCGCAUCAAUCGAAGAUGUUUUUCAAUUCUAGCCUUUUAUAAACGUAAAAAAACGAGGAUAAAUGUGUGACACGAAGCAGUCCACUACUGAACAAUUGAAUCGCAGUCGAAGAAAUAAAACAAUGACAAAAUCUUCAAUGAUCGUAUUACGAAAAGAAAUUUUUUGCCCUGCCUUAAAAUAAGAGUUUUAGAAUUAUCGAACGACGAUGAUUUUGUGAAAUGUCAAUAGCGCGUGAGGCUUUUUAGCCUGUGGCUACAAAACACGAUAAUAAAUUAAGUCGCUAUCAUA
rnacentral:misc_RNA from 1 species